rnacentral:lncRNA from 1 species
GAACAGUUGGACUUGUUUUUGGAAGCAAUAUACUUUUACUGUUGUUAUACGUCUUUGAAUGGGUAAACAUAUGUAUGUGAUCAACAAGAUUACUAUUUAGUCCAAUACUGAUGAUGAAUUGUUACAGGUUUGGUGAAAAAGUCCGUUAAUAUUUUCAAAGGAGUACAUUUGACAUCACUGUGAGUUGGUGCUGCCCUUCUCAACUGUCACAGGAGCAUGCAGCACAGGAUUUGAAAGCACCUGAGGCUCCUCAAUACCGAAUGUGUUUGUAUUUUGAAGUAUUGAGAUCUUCAGAACUUUACCUCCG